AUGCACGGCUGGUGGUGUGGCUCAGACGGAGCAAGGGUUACAUCAAGGCUGUUCUCUGGACCGUGCAAACAGUCUAGACCAAUGACCUGCAGCAUCAUGCCCUUUGAAGAAGAGGCAAGUUCGGUCAUGAUGAAGAAAAAUCAAGGCGUACCCCCUUUAACAAUAGGGAGCAGCUCGAGGCUGCAAAGAGGAGUUUGUUGCUGCUUCUGAGAUAAAGAAAACUCGAUGUCAACAUUUGAACAGAGAAAAAUACAGAAUAUGG
rnacentral:lncRNA from 1 species